rnacentral:ncRNA from 1 species
GAUUUCUGCCCAGCUCGGAUGCUCAAGUGAAGAAAUUCACCAAGGCGCGGCUAAACGGCGGGGGAUAAUCUACUGUGCACUCUCUUACAGUGAGCCAAAUACUCGUUCAUUCUAAUUAAGUGCACGCGCCUGAUGAAUGGAU